rnacentral:rRNA from 1 species
GACAGAGGGUGCAAACGUUGUUCGGAAUUACUGGGCGUAAAGCGCGUGUAGGCUGCUCAGAAAGUCGGAUGUGAAAGCCCUGGCUUAACCUAGGAAGUGCGCCCGAAACUGCAGAGCUCGAGUGCCAGAGAGGGUGGCGGAAUUCCCAAGUAGAGGUGAAAAUUCGUAGAUAUGGGGAGGAACACCAGUGGCGAAGGCGGCCACCUGGAUGGUGACUGACGCUGAGUACGCGAAAGCGUGGGAGCAACAGGGAUUAAGAU